UACGUAGGGCGCAAGCGUUGUCCGGAAUUAUUGGGCGUAAAGAGCUCGUAGGCGGUUUGUCGCGUCUGUCGUGAAAGCCCGCGGCUUAACUGUGGGUCUGCGGUGGAUACGGGCAGACUAGAGGCAGGUAGGGGAGAAUGGAAUUCCCGGUGUAGCGGUGAAAUGCGCAGAUAUCGGGAGGAACACCGGUGGCGAAGGCGGUUCUCUGGGCCUGUACUGACGCUGAGGAGCGAAAGCGUGGGUAGCAAACAGG
rnacentral:rRNA from 1 species